rnacentral:rRNA from 1 species
CCUACGGGAGGCAGCAGUGGGGAAUAUUGGACAAUGGGGGCAACCCUGAUCCAGCCAUGCCGCGUGUGUGAAGAAGGCCCUCGGGUUGUAAAGCACUUUCAGUGAGGAAGAACGCCUGGUGGUUAAUACCCAUCAGGAAAGACAUCACUCACAGAAGAAGCACCGGCUAACUCCGUGCCAGCAGCCGCGGUAAUACGGAGGGUGCGAGCGUUAAUCGGAAUUACUGGGCGUAAAGCGCGCGUAGGUGGCUUGAUAAGCCGGUUGUGAAAGCCCCGGGCUCAACCUGGGAACGGCAUCCGGAACUGUCAAGCUAGAGUGCAGGAGAGGAAGGUAGAAUUCCCGGUGUAGCGGUGAAAUGCGUAGAGAUCGGGAGGAAUACCAGUGGCGAAGGCGGCCUUCUGGACUGACACUGACACUGAGGUGCGAAAGCGUGGGUAGCAAACACGAUUAGAUACCCCUGUAGUC